rnacentral:lncRNA from 10 species
UUUUGCUCUGCUCCACAGCUGUCACCUGAGACCAGGACAAAGGAGAGGCUUAAGAGGAUCUGAGAGGGAAGUCUGUGGGCACGCCCAUUUUUACUGUAUAUUUCUGUAAGCUUGGCUGACAAUGCUGGUCAAUGUUGAUUUUUCUGCAUGAAAUAGAAAAGCAGAACUCUGUUGAUUUUAUGUUUUAUGGCUGAUCGAUGGGGGGUCAGGAUGAGGCACUUGAGAGGUGCUGAGUGGGAGGAACUGUGAUGUUUUUGAUGACCUCAUUUGUGUUGUUUCUUCUUCUGGGAAAGAGGAAGGUCAAGGUGAAUCCCUCUUUCAGACACACAUGGCUCAGGCAAUGUCACCCCUGGGCUGAAAGGCAAUGGUGGGGGCGUUUCCAGCCAGACUGAGCAAGGAGAAGUGACAUUUAAGGGCUUUUGAAGAAAUACUGCACUUUUGGCAAAGAGACCCCAAGCUGCACCUGCGUUUCUGCAGGCUCUUCACUUGCUUUUUAUAUCCUCACAGUCUGUAUCUGGAAUUGCUGAAAGGUGGAAAAUCUGCACACCCCUUAAGCAUUAAGACAGACCGCAAGGGCAGGGCAGAAUGUGAUGAAAACUCAGGAGACCUGACUCUCCAGUAACCAGUGUCUGUGAUCAGCAGCUGUCAGAGAAGCUGUGCAUUUGAUUAUCUAUGCUUAAGUGGGUUGAAGCAGCCUGGCUGGUUCCCAAUCAUAAGCUCAACUACAUCUUCAGAUGAGAAGCUGGAAUGGAGACUUGUUAUAGCUUCAUUAAAGAUACACAGCACAAUAGGACCGCUGCCAGGACCCACACCCGGCGCACAAGCGACUCCAUUCAUUUCUUUUGGGAAACUUUCGAUAAGCCAAAAGAGGCAGGAAGAGGAAAUUUUUAAGCAGACAUUAUUGACUGCAGGAUUCUAUGUAUUAUUACAACAAUGCCAUAAUAAUGAUGUCAGUGGUCGCCAGUCGAAGGACUGAAAAUUUCCUUCUGAAGUGGAAGAAAGAAGAAAGAACUCGGAUUUCAGAAUCUAAUCUGGGUUAAAAUCCCAACUCCACUACUUGCUAGCUGUUAAGUUUUACACUAUUUUCUUAAUGCAUCUGGACUUCAAGAUAAUUGCACCUAAGUUUGAUUUUUGUAAGAGUCGAAUAUGGAAAAAAUAUAUGAUGGGUUUAGCAAAAAGUAGGCCCUCGAUAUAUGCAUCUGCCCCUUCUUUUCUCUGCCUACCCACCUCAGUUCUGCAUCUCAUGAACCACAAUAUUAUCUGUUUAAUUGCCUAUGGUAACUCACUGUCACCUUUUAGGUGUUUUAUAUAUCAUUAAGAUGUAUAAAUGAAAGUGGUGGGGUAAUAUAUCCACCCUCAUCCCUACCCAGAAAGGGCAUAAAAUAAGGGUGUGAAUUACUAAAAUGCCUUAGAAUGAUUAUCUGUGCAUAAAAAAAAUUACAGAGGAAAGCCUUA